rnacentral:tRNA from 1 species
UACAUUUAGGUGUUAUUGGUGCACAGAAAUUUUUGAUAUUUCAGGUGAUAGUUUGAGUCUAUUUAAUGUAA